rnacentral:rRNA from 1 species
UGUGCUAAGGUAGCACAAUCAUUUGUCUUUUAAUUAAAGACUAGUAUGAAAGAUUAAACAUUUUAAUUUCUUCUAUAAAUUCUAUUUUCUAAUUUAUUUUAAAUGUAAAAAAACAUUUAUUUUACCAAAAGACGACAAGACCCUAUCGAACUUUACUUUAGUUAAACUGGGGUAGUUAAUUAAUUUAAAUCUUAAUAUUUAUACUUACAAAAUGGACCCAAUACAAUUGAAUAACUGAUCAAGUUACCGUAGGGAUAACAGCGUAAUAUAUUUUUAAAGCUCUUAUUAAAAAAUAAGCUUGCGACCUCGAUGUUGAAUUGAUAAACCUAUUAUGCAACCAUUUAAAAAGGAGGUCUGUUCGACCUUUAAUUUAUCACAUGAUUUGAGUUCAGACCGGCGUAAGCCAGGUCGGUUUCUAUCUUUGUUCAAUUAUUUUUUCUAGUACGAAAGGACCUAAAAAAUAAUUUUAAAU